GAGGGCAUAGCUCAGUGAUAGAGUGUGUGCUUAGCAUGCAUGAGGCCCCGGGUUCAAUCUCCAGUACUUCCA
rnacentral:tRNA from 1 species